GGGGGUAUAGCUCAAGUGUAGAGCAUUCGACUGCAGAUCGAGAGGUCACCGGUUCAACCCCGGUUGCCCCCU
rfam:Nematostella vectensis strain CH2 x CH6 NEMVEscaffold_630_Cont31120, whole genome shotgun sequence.